rnacentral:rRNA from 1 species
CUACGGGACGCUGCAGUGGGGAAUAUUGGACAAUGGGCGCAAGCCUGAUCCAGCAAUGCCGCGUGAGUGAAGACGGCCUUAGGGUUGUAAAACUCUUUCGCUAGGGAAGAUAAUGACUGUACCUAGUAAAGAAGUCCCGGCUAACUCCGUGCCAGCAGCCGCGGUAAUACGGAGGGGACUAGCGUUGUUCGGAAUUACUGGGCGUAAAGAGUUCGUAGGCGGACUGACAAGUUAGAGGUGAAAUCCCAGGGCUCAACCCUGGAACCGCCUUUAAAACUGUCAGUCUAGAGACCGGAAGAGGUUAGGGGAAUACCUAGUGUAGAGGUGAAAUUCGUAGAUAUUAGGUGGAACACCAGUGGCGAAGGCGCCUAACUGGUCCGGUACUGACGCUGAGGAACGAAAGCGUGGGGAGCAAACAGGAUUAAUACCCCGGUAGUC